GACAGAGGUUGCAAACGUUGUUCGGAAUCACUGGGCAUAAAGCGCACGUAGGCGGUCUGUUAAGUCAGGUGUGAAAGCCCCCGGCUCAACCGGGGAACGAGCAUCUGAUACUGGCAGACUCGAGGAUGGUAGGGGUGAGUGGAACUCCAGGUGGAGCGGUGAAAUGCGUAGAUAUUUGGAGGAACACCGGUGGCGAAAGCGGCUCACUGGACCAUAACUGACGCUGAGGUGCGAAAGCUAGGGUAGCAAACGGG
rnacentral:rRNA from 1 species